rnacentral:rRNA from 2 species
GCAGUCGAACGAACUCUGGUAUUGAUUGGUGCUUGCAUCAUGAUUUACAUUUGAGUGAGUGGCGAACUGGUGAGUAACACGUGGGAAACCUGCCCAGAAGCGGGGGAUAACACCUGGAAACAGAUGCUAAUACCGCAUAACAACUUGGACCGCAUGGUCCGAGUUUGAAAGAUGGCUUCGGCUAUCACUUUUGGAUGGUCCCGCGGCGUAUUAGCUAGAUGGUGGGGUAACGGCUCACCAUGGCAAUGAUACGUAGCCGACCUGAGAGGGUAAUCGGCCACAUUGGGACUGAGACACGGCCCAAACUCCUACGGGAGGCAGCAGUAGGGAAUCUUCCACAAUGGACGAAAGUCUGAUGGAGCAACGCCGCGUGAGUGAAGAAGGGUUUCGGCUCGUAAAACUCUGUUGUUAAAGAAGAACAUAUCUGAGAGUAACUGUUCAGGUAUUGACGGUAUUUAACCAGAAAGCCACGGCUAACUACGUGCCAGCAGCCGCGGUAAUACGUAGGUGGCAAGCGUUGUCCGGAUUUAUUGGGCGUAAAGCGAGCGCAGGCGGUUUUUUAAGUCUGAUGUGAAAGCCUUCGGCUCAACCGAAGAAGUGCAUCGGAAACUGGGAAACUUGAGUGCAGAAGAGGACAGUGGAACUCCAUGUGUAGCGGUGAAAUGCGUAGAUAUAUGGAAGAACACCAGUGGCGAAGGCGGCUGUCUGGUCUGUAACUGACGCUGAGGCUCGAAAGUAUGGGUAGCAAACAGGAUUAGAUACCCUGGUAGUCCAUACCGUAAACGAUGAAUGCUAAGUGUUGGAGGGUUUCCGCCCUUCAGUGCUGCAGCUAACGCAUUAAGCAUUCCGCCUGGGGAGUACGGCCGCAAGGCUGAAACUCAAAGGAAUUGACGGGGGCCCGCACAAGCGGUGGAGCAUGUGGUUUAAUUCGAAGCUACGCGAAGAACCUUACCAGGUCUUGACAUACUAUGCAAAUCUAAGAGAUUAGACGUUCCCUUCGGGGACAUGGAUACAGGUGGUGCAUGGUUGUCGUCAGCUCGUGUCGUGAGAUGUUGGGGUUAAGUCCCGCAACGAGCGCAACCCUUAUUAUCAGUUGCCAGCAUUAAGUUGGGCACUCUGGUGAGACUGCCGGUGACAAACCGGAGGAAGGUGGGGAUGACGUCAAAUCAUCAUGCCCCUUAUGACCUGGGCUACACACGUGCUACAAUGGAUGGUACAACGAGUUGCGAACUCGCGAGAGUAAGCUAAUCUCUUAAAGCCAUUCUCAGUUCGGAUUGUAGGCUGCAACUCGCCUACAUGAAGUCGGAAUCGCUAGUAAUCGCGGAUCAGCAUGCCGCGGUGAAUACGUUCCCGGGCCUUGUACACACCGCCCGUCACACCAUGAGAGUUUGUAACACCCAAAGUCGGUGG